GGGACUGUAGCUCAACUGGACAGAGCGACGGUUUCCUAAACCGUAGGUUCCGGGUUCGAUUCCCGGCAGUCCCACCA
rnacentral:tRNA from 2 species